UUUUCAUUUUUCAGAUUUUUCAUUUCUGGGUUUUUUGAGAUUGGCUGAAUAUGGUGUUUGUUCUUUUUGGUGGAUUCGAUUUCUGAGUUUUGUUCAAAUUUGUAGAGUUCCAUUUCAGUAUAGGUGUAUUCUUUACUUCGUUCUGCGAUUCAAACUCUUCGUGUUUUACAUAUAUAUGUAUUUUAUGGAAAUCUUUAGUUAAAUCUUUAGAGUUGAUUGCCUUAGAUGGACGCUUGAUUUAACCAAAGCUGCGUGAUAAUGACUCUAUUU
rnacentral:misc_RNA from 1 species